UACGUAGGGUGCAAGCGGUGUUCGGAAUCAUUGGGCGUAAAGCGCGUGUAGGCGGUUCGUUAAGUCUGAUGUGAAAGCCCGGGGCUUAACCCCGGAAGUGCAUUGGAUACUGGCGAGCUAGAGGACGGGAGAGGAUGGUGGAAUUCCUGGUGUAGGGGUGAAAUCCGUAGAUAUCAGGAGGAACAUCGGAAGCGAAGGCGGCCAUCUGGCCCGUUUCUGACGCUGAGACGCGAAAGCGUGGGGAGCAAACAGG
rnacentral:rRNA from 1 species